rnacentral:rRNA from 1 species
CUACGGAGGGUGCAAGCGUUAAUCGGAAUUACUGGGCGUAAAGCGCGCGUAGGCGGCUUGGUAAGUCGGAUGUGAAAUCCCCGGGCUUAACCUGGGAAUUGCAUUCGAUACUGUCAGGCUAGAGUGUGGUAGAGGGAAGUGGAAUUUCCGGUGUAGCGGUGAAAUGCGUAGAUAUCGGAAGGAACACCAGUGGCGAAGGCGACUUCCUGGGCCAAUACUGACGCUGAGGUGCGAAAGCGUGGGGAGCAAACAGGAUUAGAAACCCCAGUAGUCC